GAGGUGGAUGAAACUGGAGCUUCUUAUACAGAAUGAAACAGAACCACCCCUUUCAUUGCUCUGAGGAAAGAACACUGAAAACAUGUCCUACAUGUGCGUUUCACUCGGAAACUCCCAGGGUGGCAGUGGAAGGAGCCGCUCAUGAUGCGGUGCCUUGCUGACUUCACACAAGGAUGGCUGGCUGCCCGGGUGACAGUCCCUGUCGAGCCCAGCAGGCCCCUCCGGCUGGAAUCCAGGGCCCAGCGGGCAGCCCCAUUCUCCACCAGGUCCUCGCAGGGAGAGCCCCGGUACUGCGGGCCCCCGAGCCUGCUCACUCACCAGGGAAGAUUUCCCCCUCCUUCGUCAGGACACUGGAGUUCCUGUUCUUUCAUCAGGUCCUUAAGUCCUUAAGUGUUUUCACUGAAAUCUGUAUUCAUUAAUACAAGUCUAGAUAGUAAAAGCCUAAUUGCAUGAUAUUUCAAGAGCCUACUGUCAUUUGUAGUGCCUAUGAACCUCAAAAGUUUUCUAAAAACAGAUUAAAAUAUACAAUUAAAAAUGAAA